rnacentral:rRNA from 1 species
UACGGGGGGAGCAAGCGUUGUUCGGAUUUACUGGGCGUAAAGGGCGCGUAGGCGGUCAGCACAAGUCAGUUGUGAAAUCUCCGGGCUUAACUCGGAAAGGUCAACUGAUACUGUGCGACUAGAGUGCAGAAGGGGCAACUGGAAUUCUCGGUGUAGCGGUGAAAUGCGUAGAUAUCGUAAGGAAGGCCGGUGGCGAAAGCGAGCCUCUGGACAGUUACUGACGCUGAUGCACGAAGGCCAGGGGAGCAAACGGG